rnacentral:rRNA from 1 species
UAAGGAAUAUUGGACAAUGCCCGCAAGGGUGAUCCAGCCAUGCCGCGUGAGUGAAGAAGGCCUUCGGGUUGUAAAGCUCUUUCAGGUGGAAAGAAAACGCAUAGGUUAAUACCUUGUGCGGAUGACGGUACCAUCAGAAGAAGCACCGGCUAACUACGUGCCAGCAGCCGCGGUAAUACGUAGGGUGCGAGCGUUAAUCGGAAUUACUGGGCGUAAAGCGUGCGCAGGCGGUUAUGUAAGACAGAUGUGAAAUCCCCGGGCUCAACCUGGGAACUGCGUUUGUGACUGCAUAACCAGAGUACGGCAGAGGGAGGUGGAAUUCCGCGUGUAGCAGUGAAAUGCGUAGAUAUGCGGAGGAACACCGAUGGCGAAGGCAGCCUCCUGGGCCAGUACUGACGCUCAUGCACGAAAGCGUGGGGAGCAAACA